GGGCCUUCCCCUGCCAAGCGCAGCGGCUCCUUGGCUGGAUCACCGUCGCACACCUCGCCGGCGUGGUCGGCAAGAUCUGCAUCUCGAUCCUCGCCACUCUCCAUCCUCUUGCAGGUAAUAGGCUUUCCGCCCCCUCUUUUAUCUCCCGCGUUCUCGUGUGCACGGAUUGUGAGCGUGAAGGAAUAUUUCUCUUAUAUUUCAUGGUGCUGCUGUGCUCCUUCUGCCUUCACACUGCACAUAUAUAGAUUCUUCAAAGGAAUUGGAUGCUGAUAAUAUCAACUUAGUUCCCUGAAUGUGAUAUAUAUAUUCUUCCCUCGCUUUGAAUUGAUUGCCCCAAACAAUAUAUCUCUGGUUGACAGUCAUGGCCUAUUAUUAUUGUUGUUAAUUUACAACACUCUGCGCUGUAUUGUCCAAUCAUGGUCCAAACUUAAACCUUGGCUGUGGAUUCAUUGUAUGUACCAUAUGCUGUUCAUAGCUACAAAAUUGCAAUCUCUUGAAAAUGUUCUUGAAUACAGUAAUUUUUUUGUCACAUAACCCAUAUGCUGAUGAUAAAGUUUGUUGUAUGAGCUUGUGGCAUACUGAUCUGACAGGUGGCAGGUAUGCAUUCAGAUGUUGCAGCUCUAAGGAAGGGUAGUAUAUGGCACAUGGCUUCGUGGGUUGUUCGACAAGAAGUGUUUUGGGCAUAUUCGAAAGGCAAUCUUGUCAAAAUUGUACAUCGAUUUUCUUAUUCCGCCAUCAGCUUCUAUUGAUAUGAGCGAUACAAAAAGUUCAGCACUGAAUUUUAGUAUGUUAACUUGCAAGAUUUCUCGUGACUAUGUUUUUUUGUGCAAGGUUUAUAAAUUUCAAAAUAUAGUUGCAGCUUCACGGAAUGGACGGCCCAAAUUAUGUUAGUGUCUAUAUGUUUACUUGGUGGUGGUCUAGCGUGAGUGACACCUGCAUCUGUAACUUACCCAUUGGAUGUUGUUCGAAAUCACCUGACAACACAGAAAACCACUAGGUAUUACAAGGGCAUCUUUCACACGUUGUCUACAAUUUGUAGAGAAGAGAGUGGUAGAGGAUUGUAUAAAGGCCUUUGGUCCACCUUAUUGGGAGUUGGACCUGAUAUAUCAAUCAACGUUUAUGUAUAUGAAUCCCUGAGGUCUCAUUGGCAAAUGGAAAGUUGAAUGUCAAACUGUGCGACCAAUGAUUUGCUAUGGUUAAUUCCAGUUGGGUGUGUUAACCUACAGUAAUCAAUCAAGUCAACAAAUAUAACAAUGAUACUUUGUCUUCUGAUUUUUGGUGGUGAUUUUUUUUUGUGACUGAACUAACAGGAGCUGAAGCAUGUGUUCUUAUUUUUUUAUAUGACUAGAUGCAUAUGAACUGAAGCUCCAUAAUUUUCUUUUCAAGUCGACAUUGGUGGCAACCAAUACAAUUAGUGUUAUUUACAACCAAUGAAGUCUUAUAAUUUUCUUUCUUAGAAAUAUACAGUGACACUGACUAUCAUUUAGUAGCUCUACAGGCACUAGCCAAAAACAAUAAUGUUUAUUUAUUUAACCACCAAAUAGAACAAUAGGUUAUUCUGCAUUAUGGGUACACAAAUCACAACACUAUAUUUCAGCUGUAGAAAUCUGUGUGGAUGCCUGCUGAUAUUUUAAGCCUACAUAUUGCCGAUUUGGUUUGAGGAAUGCUUGAAGCAUAAUUUACUCCCUAAUGUGCAAAUAGCAGUAUCAUUUUUUGUCAAGAAACUGAGAAGACGGAAGAGAGUUGGUGUUGUCAGUGUGGUGAGCCUAUGCGGCAACCACAAGGCUGAAGUCUGCUUUGAUCAUUGUUCAAGAUUUGAGCCUUGGCUCCGGUUUUGAUAGCUCUAUAUCAGGAGUACAUGUCAUGAUUGUUGGAUACACAUGCAGACUUUCAGCGAGUUUUUGUUCUCGGACUUGGGAUCCACAGUCCAAAGUUGAUUGGUGGAUCAAGUGAACUUGGUGCAUCUCCAUUCAAGCUGGCGUACAAUUACCAGCCUGCUUGUUUAGCGCAGUCUCCACAAUCAUAUAAGCAAAUGAGCAUCUGUGGUGGCUUUGGGCGCGUGUUUGAGGCUGGUCCGGUAUUUAGAUCAGAAAAAUCAAACACUCACAGGCAUCUGUGUGAGUUUAUUGGGUUGGAUGCAGAAAUGGAGAUUAAGAAGCACUACUUUGAGGCAAGGAAGAUUUGGAGGAAAUAUUUCUUUAGUUUGUCUAUUGAAGCGAUGCUGACCAAGUACUGAUUUUUGUUUUCAGGUUUGUGAUAUCAUAGAUUGCUAAUUGUAGCAAUAUUCAAACACCCAAAUGAAAAUUGUCAGAAGGAACUCGAGACAAUAAAUAGGCAGUAUCCAUUUGAACCUCUGAAGUACCUAGAGAAAACGUUGAAGCUAACGUACGAGGAAGGGAUUAAAAUGCUCAAGGUUUCAUUCUGGAAUCCUCUAGGCAGGGUGCUUGCAAUCCCCUACAUCUCGGCUGCAACAAAAAAGACCCAACGAGGGGUGCUAGAAGGAGAACUGGGUUGUGGUGGUGUUGCUGGUCGUUUUCCUUUUUACUUUUGCACUUUGGCCGUCAUAAACGACACAUGCUUGCUCCCCGGAUGGAUCUCUUUCUCUCCCUGGAUCUUUUAAACAGGUGUUGUGAUUAAAAUUGUGAUAAAUCAGUGUUCAUCACUAUUCUUUUUGGACUUGAAUAGAUCUAUGUCUAAAUUACACAUAAUGUGUAGGAGAAAAUUACUAUAGCUGGACUUUCAUGUCUUUCUUGAAUCCAUGGCAAAGCAUAGUCACCUUAGUACUAUGUUGCUUUGCACAUGUCUUCUCAUGGCCUUAUUAAAGAUCUUGUUUCCAUGGCUUUAAACACAAGAUGAUAUUUUUGUAGCAUAUUUCAUAUAAGUUUUCCUCCUAUAAGGCUAUAAUUUCAAAUUCAAGCCCACCCAACACACAAAGUUUCUAUCUUCUUAUUUUCUAUACAAGUAGUAGCUGGCGCAGCGGUGGUGUUGAUGAACGACACCCAAUGCAGAGGCGGCAGUUACCAUAGGGAAGAGGUCAAGAACAUCUAGCUCUUGUGGUGUUCCUCCUCAUUGUUGUCAUCGCCAUCAACAGCAACAAUGACGACCGGCUCAUGAGACGGCUACUAGAGAGGGAGCGAGGAAGGGGGAGACAGAUCUUUCAGGAGCUCGGUCAAAAAUCACCUAAGGAAAA